rnacentral:rRNA from 1 species
AGCAGUCGCCGCGGUAAUACGUAGGGCGCAAGCGUUGUCCGGAAUUAUUGGGCGUAAAGAGCUCGUAGGCGGUCUGUCGCGUCUGGUGUGAAAUCCCGAGGCUCAACCUCGGGCUUGCAUCGGGUACGGGCAGACUAGAGUGCGGUAGGGGAGACUGGAAUUCCUGGUGUAGCGGUGGAAUGCGCAGAUAUCAGGAGGAACACCGAUGGCGAAGGCAGGUCUCUGGGCCGCAACUGACGCUGAGGAGCGAAAGCAUGGGGAGCGAACAGGAUUAGAUACCCCAGUAGUCCCUGUCUCUUAUAC